rnacentral:misc_RNA from 1 species
GGCGAAAGGACUCUUGGAGAUAGUUUUUCUCACGCUCCAAACCCAGAGAACCACCAUCGCAAGUCACCUAAGCCAAAUACUCUCUCUAGUUAAAACCCAACCUGCAUGCAACAUCAACAAAAGAGAAAACAAAAAGUCAUAUACACAUAACCCAGAGGUGGGAUGAGUGAUCCACGUCCGAUCAGAGGUUGCUGAGAUACUGCAUCUUGCCCAUGCGAAGUGUCAUCCAAGAUUUUGCUUGAUCAAAAACAACACGUGGCAUUUGAUUAAGCCAUCCAGACACCUGGAAAGAUGAUGUGUAAAGGGUCUCCCCUAUUAAGUUGGCCUAGCUAACACGGU